UACCAGCACCCCGAGUGGUCGGACGAUUAUUGGGCCUAAAGCAUCCGUAGCCGGUCCUACAAGUCUUCCGUUAAAUCCACCUGCUUAACAGAUGGGCUGCGGAAGAUACUAUAGGCUAGGAGGCGGGAGAGGCAAGCGGUACUCAGUGGGUAGGGUAAAUCCUCUGAUCCAUUGAAGACCACCAGUGGCGAAGGCGGCUUGCCAGAACGCGCUCGA
rnacentral:rRNA from 1 species